rnacentral:rRNA from 1 species
AGUGAACGCUGGCGGUAGGCCUAACACAUGCAAGUCGAACGGCAGCACAGUAAGAGCUUGCUCUUACGGGUGGCGAGUGGCGGACGGGUGAGGAAUACAUCGGAAUCUACCUUUUCGUGGGGGAUAACGUAGGGAAACUUACGCUAAUACCGCAUACGACCUACGGGUGAAAGCAGGGGAUCUUCGGACCUUGCGCGAUUGAAUGAGCCGAUGUCGGAUUAGCUAGUUGGCGGGGUAAAGGCCCACCAAGGCGACGAUCCGUAGCUGGUCUGAGAGGAUGAUCAGCCACACUGGAACUGAGACACGGUCCAGACUCCUACGGGAGGCAGCAGUGGGGAAUAUUGGACAAUGGGCGCAAGCCUGAUCCAGCCAUACCGCGUGGGUGAAGAAGGCCUUCGGGUUGUAAAGCCCUUUUGUUGGGAAAGAAAAGCAGCAGGUUAAUACCCCGCUGUUCUGACGGUACCCAAAGAAUAAGCACCGGCUAACUUCGU